rnacentral:rRNA from 1 species
UGACAGCCCCGUACACAAAAGCGCAUGUGCUGUGAGCUCGAUGAGUAGGGCGGGACACGUGGUAUCCUGUCUGAAUAUGGGGGGACCAUCCUCCAAGGCUAAAUACUCCUGACUGACCGAUAGUGAACCAGUACCGUGAGGGAAAGGCGAAAAGAACCCCGGCGAGGGGAGUGAAAAAGAACCUGAAACCGUGUACGUACAAGCAGUGGGAGCACAGGUUUACCUGUGUGACUGCGUACCUUUUGUAUAAUGGGUCAGCGACUUAUAUUCUGUAGCAAGGUUAACCGAAUAGGGGAGCCGGAGGGAAACCGAGUCUUAAUUGGGCGUUAAGUUGCAGGGUAUAGACCCGAAACCCGGUGAUCUAGCCAUGGGCAGGUUGAAGGUUGGGUAACACUAACUGGAGGACCGAACCGACUAAUGUUGAAAAAUUAGCGGAUGACCUGUGGCUGGGGGUGAAAGGCCAAUCAAACCGGGAGAUAGCUGGUUCUCCCCGAAAGCUAUUUAGGUAGCGCCUCGUGAAUUCAUCUCCGGGGGUAGAGCACUGUUUCGGCUAGGGGGCCAUCCCGGCUUACCAACCCGAUGCAAACUGCGAAUACCGGAGAAUGUUAUCACGGGAGACACACGGCGGGUGCUAACGUCCGUCGUGAAGAGGGAAACAACCCAGACCGCCAGCUAAGGUCCCAAAGUCAUGGUUAAGUGGGAAACGAUGUGGGAAGGCCCAGACAGCCAGGAUGUUGGCUUAGAAGCAGCCAUCAUUUAAAGAAAGCGUAAUAGCUCACUGGUCGAGUCGGCCUGCGCGGAAGAUGUAACGGGGCUAAACCAUG